GACGAGGAAAGCAAACAAAACGGGGCGGCAUCAACCGAGGAAAAGAAACUGAAAAAGGAACAAGUUGGCGAUCAAGACAAACCUCAGCUAAUCAGUCGCAGAUAUGUGCAAGUCUUCAUCCAAAGUCGUCGUUCACAAAAACCAAAGAUAAUGUGUUUGCAAGUGGAUCCAGAGACACCUGUCUUGAUCUUAAAAGUGAUAAUAAGUGAGAAAAUUGGUGUGCAGCCUCAACAACAGCGACUGUUCAUCCGAAGAAACUUUCGUAACUUUGAGCUGCAUAAUUUGCUGACACUUCACGACUGUGGAAUUCAUCAGGACGAGAACAUCUCACUCCGUCUGUGCACUGAUGGCCUACUGGGUGGUGGAC